rnacentral:rRNA from 1 species
GGUAUGUACUGGCUUCGCUGAUUCCUCCUUUCUGAAGAACUGUAAUGUCAUUAAUUUGGUGUUGCAGGGAAACAGGACUGUUACUUUGAAAAAAUUAGAGUGUUUAAAGCAGGCUAACGCUUGAAUACAUUAGCAUGGAAUAAUGAAAUAGGACGUUCGAUCCUAUUUUGUUGGUUUCUAGGAUUGACGUAAUGAUUAAUAGGGAUAGUUGGGGGCAUUAGUAUUCAAUUGUCAGAGGUGAAAUUCUUGGAUUUAUUGAAGACUAACUACUGCGAAAGCAUUUGCCAAGGAUGUUUUCAUUAAUCAAGAACGAAAGUUAGGGGAUCGAAGACGAUCAGAUACCGUCGUAGUCUUAACCAUAAACUAUGCCGACUAGGGAACGGAUGAUGUUAAUUCUUUAAUGACUCAUUCGGCGCCUUACG